AUACUUACCUAGCAGGGUAGAUACUUUGAUCAUAAAGGUGGUUUUCUCAAGGGGAGGCUUAACCAUUGCACACGGGAUGUGCUGACCCCUGUUUUCCCCAAAUGUGGGAAACUCCACUACUUAACUUGUGGUAGAGGGGAACUGUAUUUACACUCUCCCA